GAACCGUGCGAACGUUGUUCGGAAUCACUGGGCUUAAAGGGCGCGUAGGCGGGCGUUCAGGCCCGCGGUGAAAUCCCCCAGCUCAACUGGGGAAGGGCCGCGGGGACCGGACGUCUGGAGUGAGGUAGGGGCGUGCGGAACUGUGGGUGGAGCGGUGAAAUGCGUUGAUAUCCACAGGAACUCCGGUGGCGAAGGCGGCACGCUGGACCUUGACUGACGCUGAGGCGCGAAAGCCAGGGGAGCGAACGGGAUUAGAUACCCCGGUAGUCCUGGCCCUAAACGUUGGGGACUGGGUAGCAGGCCAGACAUGGGCUUGCUGCCGGAGCGAAAGUGUUAAGUCCCCCGCCUGGGGAGUAUGGUCGCAAGGCUGAA
rnacentral:rRNA from 1 species